UCACCAGACUCCUACGGGAGGCAGCAGUGGGGAAUAUUGGGCAAUGGGCGCAAGCCUGACCCAGCAACGCCGCGUGAAGGAAGAAGGCUUUCGGGUUGUAAACUUCUUUUGUCAGGGACGAAGCAAGUGACGGUACCUGACGAAUAAGCCACGGCUAACUACGUGCCAGCAGCCGCGGUAAUACGUAGGUGGCAAGCGUUAUCCGGAUUUAUUGGGUGUAAAGGGCGUGUAGGCGGGAAUGCAAGUCAGAUGUGAAAACUAUGGGCUCAACCCAUAGCCUGCAUUUGAAACUGUUUUUCUUGAGUACUGGAGAGGCAGACGGAAUUCCUAGUGUAGCGGUGAAAUGCGUAGAUAUUAGGAGGAACACCAGUGGCGAAGGCGGUCUGCUGGACAGCAACUGACGCUGAGGAGCGAAAGCGUGGGUAGCAAACAGGAUUAGAUACCCGAGUA
rnacentral:rRNA from 1 species